rnacentral:rRNA from 1 species
CGGGCGGGUGAGUAACGCGUGGAUAACCUGCCGUAUGCAGGGGGAUACCAACUGGAAACAGUUGCUAAUACCGCAUAAGCGCACAGUACCGCAUGGUAUAGUGUGAAAAGAUUUAUCGGCAUACGAUGGAUCCGCGUCCGAUUAGCCAGUUGGCGGGGUAGAAGCCCACCAAAGCGACGAUCGGUAGCCGGCCUGAGAGGGCGGACGGCCACAUUGGGACUGAGACACGGCCCAAACUCCUACGGGAGGCAGCAG